rnacentral:rRNA from 1 species
GACGAACGCUGGCGGCGUGCCUAAUACAUGCAAGUUGAGCGCUGAAGGUUGGUACUUGUACCGACUGGAUGAGCAGCGAACGGGUGAGUAACGCGUGGGGAAUCUGCCUUUGAGCGGGGGACAACAUUUGGAAACGAAUGCUAAUACCGCAUAAAAACUUUAAACACAAGUUUUAAGUUUGAAAGAUGCAAUUGCAUCACUCAAAGAUGAUCCCGCGUUGUAUUAGCUAGUUGGUGAGGUAAAGGCUCACCAAGGCGAUGAUACAUAGCCGACCUGAGAGGGUGAUCGGCCACAUUGGGACUGAGACACGGCCCAAACUCCUACGAGAGGCAGCAGUAGGGAAUCUUCGGCAAUGGACGAAAGUCUGACCGAGCAACGCCGCGUGAGUGAAGAAGGUUUUCGGAUCGUAAAACUCUGUUGGUAGAGAAGAACGUUGGUGAGAGUGGAAAGCUCAUCAAGUGACGGUAACUACCCAGAAAGGGACGGCUAACUACGUG